UUGUAACCUCCUUUCUGCCUCCAAAGCCUGCCUUGGCUCCGUGUCCAGUGAGGGAUUAUGGAUUUAGCAAGGAAGUGCUGUGUAGAGCCAGGCGGACACGAGUUUGAAUUCCAGCUCUGUCAGUAAGUAAAAGUGUGACUUUUGGAGCACCUGGGGAGUUUCUAUAAAAUACAGACAGCUGUGUCCUACUCCUUGGUAAUACAGUAAGUAUUCUGGUAUCCAUAUUUUUCAAAAUUUAUCCCAGCAAUUCUUAUGUUUAACUGUGUUUGGGAGCCACAUGUAUAUCAAAGUAAGCUAUUGUUAUUAUAAUAAUAUCAUGAUUCUAAGAUGACAUAUUAAUAGA